rnacentral:rRNA from 1 species
GGAGUUUGGACCGUGUCUCAGUUCCAAUGUGGGGGACCUUCCUCUCAGAACCCCUACUGAUCGCAGGCUUGGUGGGCCGUUACCCCGCCAACAACCUAAUCAGACGCAUCCCCAUCCUAUAGCGGUAAACCUUUGGUAUUCGUCAGAUGUCAUCAAAAUACAACAUAGGGUAUUAAUCCGCAUUUCUACGGGCUAUCCCCUACUAUAGGGAAGGUUGGAUACGCGUUACUCACCCGUGCGCCGGUCGCCAUCGGCCUUAGCAAGCUAAGACCAUGCUGCCCCUCGACUUGCAUGUGUUAAGCCUGUAGCUAGCGUUCAUC